AUGCAGUCGCGUGCUAUACAUGCAGUCGAGCGGACUUGUAGGUAUUCACUUCGCUUACUCCUGAUAGUUAGCGGCGGACGGGUGAGUAACACGUAGGCAACCUGCCCUCAAGACUGGGAUAACUACCGGAAACGGUAGCUAAUACCGGAUAAUUAAAUCUGCUGCAUGGCAGAGUUAUGAAAGGCGGAGCAAUCUGUCACUUGAGGAUGGGCCUGCGGCGCAUUAGCUAGUUGGUGAGGUAACGGCUCACCAAGGCGACGAUGCGUAGCCGACCUGAGAGGGUGAACGGCCACACUGGGACUGAGACACGGCCCAGACUCCUACGGGAGGCAGCAGUAGGGAAUCUUCCGCAAUGGGCGAAAGCCUGACGGAGCAACGCCGCGUGAGUGAUGAAGGUUUUCGGAUCGUAAAGCUCUGUUGCCAGGGAAGAACGUCUCAUAGAGAAACUGCUAUGAGAGUGACGGUACCUGAGAAGAAAGCCCCGGCUAACUACGUGCCAGCAGCCGCGGUAAUACGUAGGGUGCACGCGCCGUCCGGAAUUAUUGGCCGCAACGCGCGCGAAGGCGGUUUUUUUUUUUCUGGUGUCUGCCCCGACGUCACAUGUUC
rnacentral:rRNA from 1 species